UGCUUCAACAGAAAAGAUGAGUCCC
rnacentral:piRNA from 1 species